CGGGGAUGUAGCUCAGAU
rnacentral:siRNA from 1 species